rnacentral:rRNA from 1 species
AGAGUUUGAUCCUGGCUCAGGAUAAACGCUGGCGGCGUGCCUAACACAUGCAAGUCGAACGCUCUCUUGCCGCAAGGUGAGAGGGAGUGGCGGACGGGUGAGUAACACAUGGGAAUCGACCCAUUCGUGAGGAAUACCACCGAGAAAUCGGUGACAAUACCGCAUACGCUUUCUUCGGGAAGCAAAGCUCUUCGCAAGAGGGGCGCGAGUGGACGAGCCUGUGCCUGAUUAGCUGGUUGGUGGGGUAAGAGCCUACCAAGGCUGCGAUCAGUCGCUGGUCUGAGAGGAUGAUCAGCCACACUGGGAUUGAGAACGGCCCAGACUCCUACGGGGGGCAGCAGUGAGGAAUAUUCGGCAAUGGGGGCAACCCUGACCGAGCAACGCCGCGUGCAGGAAGACGGCCCUCGGGUUGUAAACUGCUUUUCUGGGGGAAGAGAACGGACGGUACCCCAGGAAGAAGCUCCGGCUAACCACGUGCCAGCAGCCGCGGUAAUACGUAGGGAGCGAGCGUUGUCCGGAGUUACUGGGCGUAAAGCGCACGCAGGCGGUCUGUCGCGUUCGUGCCGACAGCGACUCGCCUAACGAGUCGAGGAGUACGGAAACGGGCAGACUUGAGGGCCAGAGAGGGACACGGAACUCCGGGUGGAGUGGUGAAAUGCGUAGAGAUCCGGAAGAACACCAAAGGCGAAGGCAGUGUCCUGGUUGGUACCUGACGCUCAGAGGCGACAGCUAGGGGAGCGAACGGGAUUAGAUACCCCGGGAGUCC